UGGGGAAUAUUGGACAAUGGGCGCAAGCCUGAUCCAGCCACGCCGCGUGAGUGAUGAAGGCCUUCGGGUCGUAAAGCUCUGUGGGGAGGGACGAACCGCUGCACGUUCAUAGCGUGCAGCAUGACGGUACCUCCUUAGCAAGCACCGGCUAACUUCGUGCCAGCAGCCGCGGUAAUACGAAGGGUGCAAACGUUGCUCGGAAUUAUUGGGCGUAAAGCGCACGUAGGCGGCAUUGCAAGUCGGAUGUGAAAUCCCUCGGCUUAACCAAGGAAGUGCAUCCGAAACUGCAGUGCUUGAGUACUUAAGAGGAUCGCGGAAUUCCCGGUGUAGAGGUGAAAUUCGUAGAUAUCGGGAGGAACACCAGUGGCGAAGGCGGCGAUCUGGGAAGAUACUGACGCUGAGGUGCGAAAGCGUGGGGAGCAAACAG
rnacentral:rRNA from 1 species